UACGUAGGGGGCAAGCGUUGUCCGGAUUUAUUGGGCGUAAAGAGCGUGUAGGCGGCCAGGUAGGUCUGGUGUGAAAACUCGAGGCUCAACCUCGAGACGCCGAUGGAAACCAUCUGACUAGAGUCCGGAAGAGGAGAGUGGAAUUCCUGGUGUAGCGGUGAAAUGCGCAGAUAUCAGGAAGAACACCCGUGGCUAAGGCGGCUCUCUAGUACGGUACUGACGCUGAGACGCGAAAGCGUGGGGGAGCGAACAGG
rnacentral:rRNA from 1 species